UGAAUACGAGAUGCUAAGGCGUCGAAGUAGUGUAUGUCAUACUUCCAAGAAAAGCUUGCACUGUCAUAGAUAAAAAAUGCCUGUACCAUAACCGACACAGGUGGGUAAGUAGAGUAUACUAAGGGGCGCGAGAUAACUCUCUCUAAGGAACUCGGCAAAAUAACUCCGUAACUUCGGGAGAAGGAGUGCCUUAUUCUUAAGGUUGCAAUAACAAGAUCCAAGCAACUGUUUAUCAAAAACACAGGUCUCCGCUAAGUCGUAAGACGAUGUAUGGGGGCUGACGCCUGCCCAGUGCCAGAAGGUUAAAGAAGUUGGUUAGCAAUUGCGAAGCUGGUAACUGAAGCCCUGGUGAACGGCGGCCGUAACGAUAACGGUCCUAAGGUAGCGAAAUUCCUUGUCGGGUAAGUUCCGACCCGCACGAAAGGCGUAAUGAUUUGGAUGCUGUCUCGGAGAGGGGCUCGGUGAAAUAGACUUGUCUGUGAAGAUGCGGAUUACCUGCACCAGGACAGAAAGACCCUAUGAAGCUUUACUGUAACUUGAAAUUGAAAUUGGACUUUAUUUGCGCAGUAUAGGUGGGAGGCGUUGAUUAUAAUCUUGCGGGAUUAUUGGAGCCAUCAGUGAGAUACCACUCUUGUAAUGUUAGAUUUCUAACUUUGAAUCAUUAUCUGGUCAAAGGACAAUUUCAGGCGGGCAGUUUGACUGGGGCGGUCGCCUCCUAAAUGGUAACGGGGGCGUACAAAGGUUUCCUCUGAACGGUUAGAAAUCGUAUCUAGAGUGUAAAGGCAUAAGGAAGCUUGACUGUGAGACCUACAAGUCGAGCAGGGACGAAAGUCGGUCUUAGUGAUCUGACGGUACUGAGUGGAAAGGCCGUCACUCAACGGAUAAAAGUUACUCUAAGGAUAACAGGCUGAUCUCCCCCAAGAGUUCACAUCGACGGGGAGGUUUGGCACCUCGAUGUCGGCUCAUCGCAUCCUGGGGCGGUAGUACGUCCCAAGGGUUGGGCUGUUCGCCCAUGAAAGCGGUACGCGAGCUGGGUUCAGAACGUCGUGAGACAGUUCGGUCCAUAUCCGGUGUAGGCGUUAGAAUAUUGAGAGGAGCCUUCUUUAGUACGAGAGGACCGAGAAGGACAUACCUCUGGUGUACCAGUUAUCGUGCCAACGGUAAACGCUGGGUAGCUAUGUAUGGAGUGGAUAACCGCUGAAAGCAUCUAAGUGGGAAGCCCACCUCAAGAUAAG
rnacentral:rRNA from 1 species